rfam:Populus trichocarpa isolate Nisqually-1 chromosome 2, whole genome shotgun sequence.
AUACCUUUCUCGGCCUUUUGGCUAAGAUCAAGUGUAGUAUCUGUUCUUAUCAGUUUAAUAUCUGAUACGUGGGCCAAUGGCCUACAUGAUAUUAAAUUUAUUUUUCAAUGGGGAAGGCCUGUUCAAGUAGCUUGCUACUGAGGUCCUCGUGCGUCGCCUAUGCUUUGCACUGUUGCAUCGGCAUGGCGCACCCUUC